GAUGAAGAACGUAGCGAAAUGCGAUAAGUAAUGUGAAUUGCAGAAUUCAGUGAAUCAUCGAAUCUUUGAACGCACAUUGCGCCCGCCAGUAUUCUGGCGGGCAUGCCUGUCUGAGCGUCAUUUCAACCCUCAUGCCCCUAGGGCGUGGUGUUGGGGAUCGGCCAAAGCCCGCGAGGGACGGCCGGCCCCUAAAUCUAGUGGCGGACCCGUCGUGGCCUCCUCUGCGAAGUAGUGAUAUUCCGCAUCGGAGAGCGACGAGCCCCUGCCGUUAAACCCCCAACUUUCCAAGGUUGACCUCAGAUCAGGUAGGAAUACCCGCUGAACUUAAGCAUAUCAAUAAGCGGAGG
rnacentral:misc_RNA from 1 species